rnacentral:rRNA from 1 species
UGGGGAAUUUUGGACAAUGGGGGAAACCCUGAUCCAGCCAUCCCGCGUGUGCGAUGAAGGCCUUCGGGUUGUAAAGCACUUUUGGCAGGAAAGAAACGUCGCGGGUUAAUACCCCGCGAAACUGACGGUACCUGCAGAAUAAGCACCGGCUAACUACGUGCCAGCAGCCGCGGUAAUACGUAGGGUGCAAGCGUUAAUCGGAAUUACUGGGCGUAAAGCGUGCGCAGGCGGUUCGGAAAGAAAGAUGUGAAAUCCCAGAGCUUAACUUUGGAACUGCAUUUUUAACUACCGGGCUAGAGUGUGUCAGAGGGAGGUGGAAUUCCGCGUGUAGCAGUGAAAUGCGUAGAUAUGCGGAGGAACACCGAUGGCGAAGGCAGCCUCCUGGGAUAACACUGACGCUCAUGCACGAAAGCGUGGGGAGCAAACAGGAUUAGAUACCCUGGUAGUCCACGCCCUAAACGAUGUCAACUAGCUGUUGGGGCCUUCGGGCCUUGGUAGCGCAGCUAACGCGUGAAGUUGACCGCCUGGGGAGUACGGUCGCAAGAUUAAAACUCAAAGGAAUUGGACUGGGGUCG